UCGCCGCGCGGCCGCGUCGGCCGCCGCCUCGGGUCGACGCCGCCGUCGCGGCUCCUCUAGGUGACUGCCGGUCGCGUGCGUCGUCGUGCGAAGAGCAGGUGAGCGGGGGCCGCGUCAACCGCCGUCGCGGUUCCUCCACUCCAUGGCCGACCACUCCCUGCGUGCGUCACAGAGGUGUCAGGGCAGAGGCUCCGUGUGGAGGAGAGUCAAGGAGGACAGUGGAUGCGAGGAAGAGGAGGAGCGGGGGAGACGACAGGAAAAACGUCCCCACGCACACCUAUAUGAGCUCCUCAUUCUGAUUCUAUUUUGAUUGUAGGGUUUGCUGUCAAGGAGAUUACUCACUAUUUUCUUUCGCUUCUAAGGUUUGAUGUUAAGGAGAUUUCUACACCAAUGGUGACAACGGCCAGCAUUGAUGCUCUGCUGCAGGAAUCAGGGUCUAUAGAUGUGCGAUUUUGCAGCUGAUGAUUAGCGGGUGCACAAAUUUUGGCACAUAGAAGGAGGGAAUGUGACCUGAGGAGUCUGUCCAUGGCGGCCCUUCUUUUGGUCGAUUUGAAGGCUUAGAUUGAACGGGCUUUUUGAUGCCUUCUUUUGGUCAAUUUCACCCUGUUAUUUUGGUCAAUUUAUAUGCUUAGUGGCAAGUGUGCAGAAAAUUAUGGUUGGCAGGGUACUGUUAAUCUUGCUAAUUCAGGCUGUUCUGCUCUUCUUUUGGUCAAUUUCACCCUGUUAUUUUGGUCAAUUUUAUAUGCUUAGUGAAAUAUGCUUGCAAGGUGUUGGAUGAAAAGGCAAGUGGACUGCAAAUAUUCAUCGUGGCAGUGCUUUGUGCUCUCGCCCCGGCAAGGUGGCGUCAUCUUCUCUACGAGGUUGUUCAAUCGCUUUUCUCACACUAUGUAAUGUAUAGAUGAAGUGUUCAUCCUGCGCUACAGCUGGGAAGGAAGGCCGCAAGCGACUGAAGCAGGUCUUGGUGAACCAAUUGGAGGUGUCGUUUGAGUUCUGCAAGAUCACCUGGUCCAUCAUUGAUGUCCUAGACAUCAACACGGUACAUCACCUGCUCUUAGACACAAUUGUUUUAUUUCUUUGUUGGAUUUCUUCUAUAGCAAUUAUGAUGCUUUUAGUUCUGCUUAUUAUUUGUGUAUAUUCGAACAUCUGCCACCGGUGCACACCAUGUGUACUGACAAUAUCUUGGCUGGCUUGAACAUUGUCGAAGGUGGAAGUCUACUAGGGAUAAAAAUCAGUGGAGUAAGAGAGGGAUAAAAGUUGCAGUUUUUGUGAUAAUCAUGGGAACCUGGAACAUGUUCACUUAAACUGUUCUACUGCAGUUUUCUUUGGUAUUUGCAGACCUACUUCCAGUAUAUGAUAGUCGAUUGAUUUAAUGGUUAUGGUAAAGAUGAGAAAUUUGUUUGAUAUGGGAUUUGUGCUCUGUAGAGGGCAAUAUGGUUUUCUGGGAAUGCUACUUUCAGUAUGUAGCUGAUCAACCCUCCACGAGUGACGCUCUUUCUCUUUUGGUAUGAUUCACUAAUGCAUUUUCAAGACACGCCCUAAUUGUUGGAUUAUGCGAGGAAAGGCACUUGCCUAAGCAAAAAAAAAAUCAAUGUAUAUAUCUGUUUACAUGAAGUCAUGAUAUUCCACUUCGUAUGAAUUUCACCUAUUUUAUGAGCUAACAAAUUCUGGCCUAGAUUGACUAUGAAAUGCCGGAUGGACUCGGGUAUUUGAGACAAGGCGCCUGACUGUCCAGUUCUCCGUUAUGGUUUCUAUUCAGUUCUCCAGUAGGAUAUUGUCCAGUUUUUCCAAGUUCAAGGCUACAAUAUUGUUUGGGCCUCAACGACGAGUUAUAGCUUGCAACAACAUCUUCAUGAAAACGCUAGAUGGCAGAUGAUGGACUAUAAUUAUUUGGGUUGAAGAGAAGCUUUUGUUAGCCCCGAAGGUGCAGUGGAUUUAUUCAUGGGCAUGCCAUUUUAUUUCUCGCGCUAGACAGUGUUAGGCUACCUACUAGAUUGGGUAUCUGAGCUUCAUAGAUAUUUUACUCCACUUAUUUUGUUGGAUAUACUGCUUUUCUGCUUCUCUUUUGAAUUUCAUAAAUGUUUGUGUUGUAUGCUUGUACCUGACAACCUUUUGAAUCAACAUGAUUGAUAUCUAUUUCCAUUUUAAGUGCAUAAUGGUUAGUCAUAUUGGUUGCCUAUACUUGCUAUGUAGCAAUCAGUUUGUUAAAGCUAAUUCUGGUGACGGCUCUGCUAUAUGGUAAUAAAACAGAUUUAUAGGAGUUGAUUCUCAGAUGAGAGCAGCAAAUAGAGUAUUUUGAGUGUUUCUCUAAAAUAUACCUUUUGAGUUCAUUUGUGGUGGGUUUUGAUAAGUCAUUGUGGUUCUCACAUGAGAGCAACAAAUAGGGCGCCUUCUCUCGAUGUCAUCGUGGUGGGUUUUGAUAAGUCCGUGCUCAGCGUCGUAUAUAUUCUUGUUAUGGUGCUAGAUCUUUGGCAUAUACAUCAGUUUUAUAUCUUGCUUGCUUUGUAUAUAUUGUUGUUCUGGUGCUAGAUCUUUGGCAUGUACAUCAGUUUUAUAUCUUGGUUGAGUUGUAUAUAUUCUUGUUCUGGUGCUAGAUCUUUGGCCGUGAUGUCCUAUUGAUUUGUUAGUUCUAGGAAAUAAAUGAAUCCGAAGGUGUGGACUUUAUCUAUUAAUGUGGUGCUUUCAGAUUUGAGCUUUUGUGGAUGGCUAAAAGAGAAAGUGUCAAACGAAAUCUGUGACUUCUGUAUUGCUCCCUUGACAUUUUUCUACAUUAACGUCAGCUAUCCUAAACAUCCAUUUUAUCGUUUCAGUGCAGCAUUGCCAUAGUGCGAUACGGGGUUUUAUCUAUUUUAUCCUCAACUUAUAAACACACACGCACUAUAUUGUUUUGCUUCCACAGGUUUUUGUCAUCCAGCCCAUUUACUAAUUGGAUGUCCUUGAGGUCACUAUUGCAUUUCCUUGUUGUUUCCAGUUGAGCUGGUCGCUACUGGCAUCGCCAGCGACGCCGUAGUGUGCUACCAGACCGGUCUGGUAGCUGGGAAGUCCCAAUCCCAGUCUUCAGUUUGCAUUCUACCCUUCUCAGGGGUGUAAAGGAUGCUCCAGGUUUCGGAGCAUCAGUGGUUAUGCCUAUAUGGAGCUUUAGGUGGCUGGACGUGGCGGUUUCAGAGCAUCAGUGGUUAUGCAACCCCUUCCUCCAUUGCUCAUUUCUCUAUCUCUCGCUCAACCGCAUCCUAAUCAAAUCCUAGAAAAGUCUAGAGUGAGCUUAGUGACAGUAUGCGUUGUGUGUACAUUUAGGAUAGCACACUUCAGUGAGAACAAAUUCAUAUUCUUUACUUAGUAGUGUAUGGUGAAUCAUCAUAAGAUAUACCGUUGACAGUCAACUUCUUUUGCCAAAACUGAUAGCUGUGUUGCCAACCUAUGACAUGUUCGUUCAGUAGUGAUGACUAUUUUGAUAGUAGUUGUGAUUUCUCAGCUUACCUAUGCUUUAUGUCUUUUACCACAUUAGAGCUUAUUCCAUUCAUACCUUGUUUACUGUUUCUACAUUUCUACAUGAUGUGGUGCUUUUCAAAUGAUUAUUAUUUGCACAAACUAAACUUGCAAUAACUCUACUGCCAAACGUCUUGCAUUUCUACCCCCAUUAAAAUUACUUCGUCAACCAUCAAUAUGAAUACUUAUUUAGUUAUUUUAUACUGAAUGUACCAAUAAUUUAAAAUAAGUAACCUCCUAUUAUUGCCAAUCAUAUUUUCUUUUACUCACGAAUAACAAGUCCUCAUGGUUUCCAUGUGCCUGCCAACAAGUUCGACAACAUUCUAGCACCCUUUAGAGCAUGGGAGGGACAGAUCUGCAGCAGCUAAAUCAUAUGAGAUGCCAACCUCCUGCUGUUCUACCCGGCUACGACGGCCUGUGACCACUCCACGAGGCUCUCGCUGACGAACUUCGACCUAUUGUAGCAUGAGGGCCUCAAAUCUUAUUGUGAUGCAUGACACACUCUGAAUAAUUCUGUACCAAAGCAACGGUGCUGGAAAAAACAGCUGCAUUUUGGCAAUCUUAAUGCCAGGUUCUCAUCUAUGCAGUCUGCUGGCUAUGGCUAUGUUCAACUAUACACACUUCACAUAUUAUCUGGAUUUAUUUAGGGGAGGGUUGCCUGAUUUUUUAGAUUUUGAAGAUAUUUUGGUGUGUUCUGUUCGUAGAAUGACAACUGUUUACUGAAGUUAUGAUUGGGUGUAAUAUAAUAGUGUGCCAUUUUUGUUUCAAUGGAUCGGUGAUGGUCGGUGUUCAUAAUCUUGAUCAUAUGCCUCAGAAAGGCACAAGUGAACAUGAUAAGGCUGCUUUAGGUACUACAAAAAUGCAAUUGGUACUACAAAAUCAUGUGUGCAAUUGGAACCGAUUGGUACAACAAAAUUAUAUCCAUUUGCCCCAAGACCACAUCCUUGUAAAUAAAUAAAUAGCUAAGCCGUAUAUCAUUUGACCGUACAACAUGGCAGUGUUGUUUCCUAAGUGAUACCACAAUAUGUCAAUGCUUGAAGCCAUUGGCAAUAUCAAAGAGGCUUUGCAGGUUCUCGACGGAAAUAAUUACAUUAGCUCGCUGGUGCAAAUGGAAUUGGUUUCCCUCUCCGGGUGUUUCAUUUUUAUCUGUUCAUGAAUGGAAAAGCACCAAUUAGAAAAAAAACGUGAUCAUUAUUUCCCUUAUUCAUUUGCCAGUGAAUUAGUAGGCCUGCACAAGAAUGUGACCUUUAUUUUUAGUUGUAUUGAUUAUACCGCUGUUGUUUUCGCCCAUUGUAGCUAAAUGGUUAGCAAGGCCGUUCGGGCUGAAUAAAUCUCAAGAAGCAGUAAAGGAUGAUUUAGGGGUCACUGCAGAGGAAGAAAAUAGAUGGAGGAACUCACACAGAGAGGUAUAACCUGAAGGGAGGAGGAAGGAUAUGUUGAAUUGCUUCGAUGGUGGAGGCGGGUGUCACGGCCAUGGUCUUCCUUUCUGCCGCUGGUGGUGCUGGAUGGCAUCGACGGCAUGCAGGUAAACGACCAGCAACAACAACGAGGUAGCCUUCAGGUCAUUUCUCAUGUUCUUUGCCCAUUUUUUGCGUCAGAUUUUAGUUACUUUUAUUUUUCCUGAUCAUUCUAAGUUGUAGUGUAACAUGAUGAUGAUUGUUUGUGUCUAUAGCAAGGAUGACAUAUUAAGCUUGAAAUUAAUCCUUCAGACUAUCGUUUGUGUUUCCUGUUUCUUUCUUUAGGUAGCAUUCUAUUCAAUUUUUUCCUCCUAACUGAUAAUACAUCAUUAAGUAGCAUAUUAGCCUCUUAUGUUCUUUUUGGUUUGAUAACCUAGAACAUAAUACUUCUUAAUGUUCUUGAUUCACUUUGCCCUUGAUAUAUGCAGUGCUUCACCAUGACAAAAAAAACAUGGUUUACUUAUUGUGCACAAAGUUGAUUUAGUUGGAUUGAUCCAGAAUAACAAUAUGAAUUUUUGAUGAUUCAUAAUUUCUGAACUGCGCUCUAUUUUGCAUUGUAGUUUAUUUGCAGAGAAUGGUUUUGUGAUCUUUGGUAUUAGUUAAAGAGAAUGCUAAAGUAUAUGGAAGAGUGGUACCUGUAAUCAUGGGAUGUUGUGGUUUAAGCUUGCUUGAAUCUUGUUCCAGCCGAAGAGUAACACCUUCGAAAGGCUUUGAUUUUUAUUUUUUUGGAGAACUGAGUCGCUGAAUAUGAAGGAUUCUGAUCAGUUUCUCCAUUACUAUUUCUAUACAUUUUGUUUCUUACUAAAAAGAAAAACCUGCUCGGCUCACUUAUACACAUGUAUCCCUAUUGUUAUUCUACAUAAUUGAGUUUUGGAAGUUGGGGGAAGAGUCGACGACGUGGAAGAUGAGAGUAACCGCAAGGCCGCCGCUUUUGCUGGAGAGGAGGAGGUCGUUGGAGGCAAAGAAUAGUUGAUGUGCAAUUGUGGCAUCGGCAUCAUGGCGAACGGCAGGCUGAGGCAUUGCUGGUGUCGGAUGCCGUGGAGACUAGCCUUGGCGGGUGGCGGUUUUCUUUAUUUCUGCCAGUGUUCUACGCUAGAGAAAGGAAAACUCUCCCAUUUGGCUUUUCCUCCAUCGAAUCAAGCCAUUAUCAAGACAUCAACACUUCCCCGUCAUGAGACUUCAUCCAUCUCCAUAGUCAUUGACAAGCCUCCUAGCUGCACUCCACCCUGAAGAGUCAACAUGCUAAGCCGAUUGCAGCCCACUAGAGCCGCGAGGUCAUCCACUCCGUCUUGGAUGCCGCUUCCACCAUGGAUUCUAAGCAUUCAAAUAAAACACACGGCGUCGGUUGGAGCAUCGGUGAAACCGGUGUGUAUGUUGCUGUUGCGGUUUUCUCCCAUGGACCACAAGCUAGGCGAGUAUUAUGCAAAGGUGCAAGGUUUGUGCCUCUUCAGUUUCAAUCUGGAAACCAAAGACAUCCAUCUGUUCGCCUUUCUCUUUGUAUUCUCUCGAUUGUCAAUGAUGGCUUCACCCUAAAGCAGGUUGAUCUCUGUACAUUUACUUACCUUUGUUGUUCAUCUGUCGAUAUUCUUCCAAAGGAUUGUGUGAAUUUCCUCUUCGGUGUUUCAAAUACCGUGUUUCUACUCUCCCACAAAAAGAAGUAUAACAGAGUCUUAAUUUAAUGAUAACGCAUGAGGAUAUCGGAAGAGAUGCAUUUCAGCAGGGAUAUCAGAUGGUCCGUGCCAUCUUUUCGCUAUAGGCUCUUGGCAGGAUGUGCUAUUGAACAUAUGGACUGUAUUGUACUUUACACUGUAGUUUUUUUCCUUUUGAGAUUCUCAUGGCUGAUCAGUUGGCUUACCAGCAGUUGAUUUUGCUGGCCAUGUGAUUUUUGACGAAACAUGGUUCGGAACAUGAGGUGUGCUUCGGUGUCCCCCAGGCCCCAGCUCCAUCCACCAUCAAAAUUGAAGGGGUACGUUAGCCCACGAAAGGCUAUCAAAAUAUCCUGGCUGUCCAUAGAGGCAAAAGUUCAGAGGGGAGGACAAAGCAAAACCAUUGGAACACUCAGGUGGCUUGUACGCUGCUUCGCUGCAUUAAAAUCAUUUGUAAUGACAAGGAUUGCUGUGUACGCAAGUAAAGACAUGAAAAUCCUGUAUAUUAGCAUCUAUUGGCAUUUUAGAAGGUUUUUGUUUGCACUGAUUUAGACAUUUCUCACACUGGAAACACAUGGUUAGCCGCUGUUAUUUGCGCGAUAGCGCAACGGAUCAUCUAGUAUUACAAAUGCUCUCAUAAAAGCUAGAGAAGAGAAACUAGAGCGCGAAGCCUCUAUUCCUAGAAAGCUAGAGGAUGGUUGGGAACCCAUCAUUAAUAUGAAGGUCAAAGAUUUUGAUUGUAA